UGGGGGAUAUUGCACAAUGGGCGAAAGCCUGAUGCAGCGACGCCGCGUGGGGGAUGAAGGCUUUCGGGUUGUAAACCUCUUUCGCUAUCGAACAAGGCCCGCUUAGGGUGGGUUGAGGGUAGGUGGAGAAGAAGCGCCGGCUAACUACGUGCCAGCAGCCGCGGUAAUACGUAGGGCGCGAGCGUUGUCCGGAAUUAUUGGGCGUAAAGGGCUUGUAGGCGGCUUGUUGCGCCUGCUGUGAAAACGCGGGGCUUAACUUCGCGCGUGCAGUGGGUACGGGGAGGCUUGAGUGUGGUAGGGGUGACUGGAAUUCCAGGUGUAGCGGUGGAAUGCGCAGAUAUCUGGAGGAACACCGAUGGCGAAGGCAGGCCACUGGGCCAUUACUGACGCUGAGGAGCGAAAGCAUGGGUAGCGAACAGG
rnacentral:rRNA from 1 species